rnacentral:rRNA from 1 species
UUUAUUAAGAAGAACCUCCCCAAGUGUAGACAUCCUCCUACCAAUGAAAUAAAGGUACUUUCUUUUCCGAUCAGGGAAAACAGAGGCGGCUGGGGCAUGGUCGUCGUCAGUUCGGGAAGUUAGGGGUAAGUCCCAGACCGGCAACAACCCCAACCCUUGGCAUCAGGUGGUUCGCCAGGGCACUCUAGGGAGACUGCCAGGGAUAACCUGGAGGAAGGUGGGGAUGACGUCAAAUCAUCAUGCCCCUUAUGACCUGGGCUACACACGUGCUACAAUGGCGUAAACAAAGGGAAGCCAAGCCGUGAGGCGGAGCAAAUCUCAAAAAAAACGUCUCAGUUCGGAUUGUAGUCUGCAACUCGCCUACAUGAAGCUGGAAUCGCUAGUAAUCGCGAAUCAGCCUCUCCGUUUUUC